rnacentral:rRNA from 1 species
UACAGAGGUCUCAAGCGUUGUUCGGAUUCAUUGGGCGUAAAGGGUGUGUAGGUGGCGCCGUAAGUCGGGUGUGAAAUUCGACGGCUUAACUCCGAAACUGCAUUCGAUACUGCCGGUGCUUGAGGACUGGAGAGGAGACUGGAAUUCAUGGUGUAGCAGUGAAAUGCGUAGAUAUCGUAAGGAAGACCAGUGGCGAAGGCGGGUCUCUGGACAGUUCCUGACGCUGAGGCACGAAGGUCAGGGGAGCAAACGAG